rnacentral:sRNA from 1 species
UGGUUUGGUGCGAUCGCGUGAGACGCGUCAGGUGCUUGAUUUCCCUGAGUCCCGGUGCCUCAGCUGCCCAGUGCCCACGUUCGUAAGAAGGCAACAAGUUCUUCUCCUCUACAGAAGGAUUUUGCAAACAAUUCGGCAAGUUCCAAAUGAUUCUGAUCGCAAAUACCUGAAAGAUUGGGCAAGAGAAGAAUUCAAAAGAAACAAAAGUGCCACCGAAGAGGUGAGAACAAAAUCAUGGAUACAAUCCGGAUGAUGAUUACUCAAGGCAAUAUGCAGCUCAAGGAGUUAGAAAAAACACUUGCUUUAGCAAAAUCUUAACUAUAGCAUUAUUCUGAAGGAUUUUCAAAGUCUCCAUGUGUUUUGUUGCAUUUAGGAUUAACAAUGGACAGCACAAAGCCCAGUCUUACUAUUUAUAUGUACAGUAUUUGGUGAUAGAGAGCAAAGGAAAAACACAUCAGAACAGUUGCCUUAACUGAAAAACAUACCCUGCAUUUUGAAAAUGUUUAUGGAUGUCUCAGCAGUUUUUAAAAGAAGAAAAAAACCACUAACAAAUGGUCAGUAG